rnacentral:rRNA from 1 species
AAUUGGAUUCAACGCCGGAAAUCUUACCGGGACCGACAGCAAUAUGAAGGCCAGGCUGAAGACUUUGCCGGAUUAGCUGAGAGGUGGUGCAUGGCCGUCGUCAGUUCGUACUGUGAAGCAUCCUGUUAAGUCAGGCAACGAGCGAGACCCACGCCCACAGUUGCCAGCGUACUCUCUGGAGUGACGGGUACACUGUGGGGACCGCCGCUGCUAAAGCGGAGGAAGGAAUGGGCAACGGUAGGUCAGUAUGCCCCGAAUAUCCCGGGCUACACGCGAGCUACAAUGGUUGGUACAAUGGGUAUCUACCCCGAAAGGGGACGGGAAUCUCCUAAAACCAAUCUUAGUUCGGAUUGAGGGCUGCAACUCGCCCUCAUGAAGCUGGAAUCCGUAGUAAUCGCGUUUCAACAGAACGCGGUGAAUACGUCCCUGCUCCUU